GCAGGAGUGGCGGAAUGGCAGACGCGCUAGUUUCAGGUUCUAGUGAGAUUUUCUCGUGUGGGUUCAAGUCCCAUUUCCUGUACCA
rnacentral:tRNA from 9 species